AACAAAGAAUAUUUUCCUCUGGUAGGAGGUGGGGUUAAGUAUGGGAAGGGAUAUGGAUUUUUCUUAGUUUUCUGAACUCCUUUUUAGUUUCUUUAUUAAAUAUGCAUACUGUUCAUUUGCCGCUUUCAUAUCUUCCUCAUGAAAUUAGAUUUGCAAGUACCCGGCACACAACCCUCAUUGUU